AAAAAAAGGAGAGCACGCCGUGUUGUUUGUUGUGUCUUCGUCAAUCCUCGCAUAACAGAGACUGAAAAGAGAGAGACAAGGAGAGAAAAUUGUUCGAUUGUUGGUGGCUCAGUUUCCUAGAGAUAGUGUCAUCCAAAGGUUCAAUUGGUUUUCCGGGUUGUAUGGGAUAAAUUUUGAGGUGAAACCUGUUAUUAAAAAUGUAAUUAUGGGUAUUGGCUUUUGAUGUCAGGAAGAACCCUCUUGGGAUGAGUUAUUGAAUUGGGUAAGUAUUGUGUUUUUAUUAAGCUUAUUGUUGGUGGGUUCUUGAACACGAGAUUUGCAAUGUUAUGGUGUAAUGACCCGAUUUUUCGGAACUAAUUAUUUGAAUUCUUAGACUUUAAUAAAGUGUGUAAAUUUAUUGAACCGCA